GCAGGGGGUUUCCAGGUGUAGCAGCACUUAGUUAGCAUGGAAACUUCCCUUCAGAGGCCCGUAACAGGAUCCCAGCCUGGGUCCCUGAUUGACGGCAACUUCCAGGACCAUCUCCAGAAGUAUUUGGACCUGUCUCAUCUGCAUGCUCCAACCAUUUGGCCCCAAACUUACUUGCGCUGGAUGAAGUAGGAGCCCUGCCUGCUGCUAGGAGUGAAGGUGACAUGAAGAAUCCGUUCCCAGCUCCAGCUGAGGCUCUUGGUCCCCUUGAAGCCCCUCACCACAUCCAAGCCAGUCAGAAGAAUGAAGGAGUGACCUGCCUGGAACACCCACCCUCCAGGGAGGUUAAUAUGCUUUCUAGUCCUGACCAGGACCCAGAACCACAUCAUCCUGCAUCACUGGAGUUCCCCCACUUCACACACCCGAAAGGAAGCUCAAGCUGUAGAGACAACAGUCACUAUACACUGUGCUGGCCCCAGUACUUUGAGGGGUCCAGGAGAGCCCAGGUCUUUCCUAGCCAUGGCAUUUUAAUAUUUCCUCUCCCUUUGGCCUGUGUUCAGCGUGUGGUCAGGCUGGCCUCCUCACUGCCCAGUUGACACAAGACGUGGGUUUAGCAUAGCACAUCCCGGUGGGUUGGUGGGUGGGUUGGUUUGUGAAGACAGCCAAAGCCUGGCAAAUGCCGUUUUUCUCUCCUUUGAUUGCAACUCUCUCGGAGGGAAUGCAUAGAUCAGUAGUUAUUUCACAAAUAUAUGUUGGGUUCCUGCUGCGUGCGUGCUAAGUAUGGUAUCCAGUCAGGUGCCGGAGAGAAAAAGCCGUGAAUUAAUCAAGCCCCUGCUCUCUAGGAGUUUACCGUUAGUUUUCUAUUUCAUUUUAUAGGCGAGGAGACCGAGGCCUAGAUCUGCAAGUGUCAAAGGGCUGAGCUGAGACUUGCCCUGGCUGGAUCCUUCUAGGUGUCUAUGUGCGGUCACUCCCGCUCCUAAGGGCCUGGUCUCCCACUCCUCGGAAGCCCUUCCUGUAGCCCCUCUUCCCUGUUCCUCUCGGAAUCCUGGGCUGCAGUAGCCACCUCUCCGCUUCACCGCUGACCCUGGAGGUGCUCCAGCAGAGAGCUACUAGCGGCGGGGUGGAUGAAAGCAGGGGGCCGGCGAACCCGCGGUAACUCGGCUUCCCAAGCUCAGGUCCUGGGCGGGGCGUGCAACGCCAAGUCCCGCCCCCGGCUAGUCCGCUCGUCGAAUGCGCACGCGCGUCUCCCAGUGGUUCCGCCCAUCACCGUGGGACGUCGGCUGCGCGCGACGCGCUGGCCGCAUAAAUGCGGCGGCAUCCGGCGUAGGAGCACUUCAGCCGGGAGAGCCUGGGCGUUCGGACGUUUGCCGGUGUCGCGGGCCGCGACAGAGCCCGCCCCUGCUCGCUGCGCCAUGGCGGACGAAGGGAAGUCAUACAACGAGCACGAUGAUCGAGUUAGUUUCCCUCAAAGAAGGAAGAAAGGCCGAGGCCCUUUCCGGUGGAAGUGUGGCGAGGGGAACCGGCGCUCUGCAAGGGGAGGUUCUAGCAUUCGGUCUUCCCGCCUUGAGGAAGAUGACAGAGAUGUGGCAGUGAGCGACGCCCAGGAUGUUCCCCGACUACGAUACAACCCCUAUGCUCCGCGACCCAACCGUCGGGGCGAUGGUUGGCACGAGCGGUCUCGAAUUCACGUCACGGUGCCUCUGCGGAGAGACAGAGUUCCUCCAGAGAGGGGAGGAGCCGGCACCAGCCAGGAUGGGACCUCAAAGAACUGGUUUAAGAUUACAAUUCCUUAUGGCAGGAAAUACGACAAGUCAUGGCUCCUGGGCAUGAUUCAGAGCAAGUGCAGUGUCCCUUUCACUCCCAUUGAGUUUCACUAUGAAAACACACGGGCCCAGUUUUUUGUCGAGGACGCCAGUACCGCCUCGGCAUUGAAGGCUGUCAACUAUAAGAUUUUGGAUCGGGAGAACCGCAGGAUAUCUAUCAUCAUCAACUCCUCUCCGCCGCCCCACACUGUGCAGAACGAGCUGAAGCCGGAGCAAGUCGAGCAGCUCAAGCUGAUCAUGAGCAAACGAUACGACGGCUCCCAGCAAGCCCUUGACCUCAAGGGCCUCCGUACAGACCCAGACUUGGUGGCCCAGAACAUCGACGUGGUCCUGAACCGCAGAAGCUGCAUGGCAGCCGCCCUGCGCAUCAUCGAAGAGAACAUCCCUGAGCUGUUGUCCUUGAACUUGAGCAAUAACAAGCUCUACAGACUGGAUGACUUGUCCAACAUCGUGCAGAAAGCACCGAAUCUAAAGAUCCUAAAUCUCUCUGGAAACGAGCUGAAGUCUGAGCGGGAGCUGGACAAGAUCAAAGGGCUGAAGCUAGAAGAGCUGUGGCUCGAUGGAAACACCCUGUGUGAUACCUUCCGAGACCAGUCCACCUACAUCAGGUCAGUUGUAGCCUCUGUCUCCCCUCCUGGGGACCUUCACCCCCCGGGAGGCUGAGCUGCUGCCCCCUGACCAGUGCCCAUCUGCAGGAGAUGUGCAGCCCUGAGCUGGAACCACCUGUCCUUUGGGAGGAUCACGUGCUCCUCCCUCUCGUCUGUCCGUGUCCCCAGCUUGGCCCUGGUCUCCUGCCCUUCCUUCCCACCUGACUGCUCUUUGCUGGUUCUGUGGCCUUUCUCCCUCCUUCCUGAGCACAGCCUUUUCCAGACUCUCCCUGCCCUCUGUUCCAGGAAGAGCAUCUCCCCUUUUCUCCCGUGACCAGGGGGUGUCGUGUAUGUGCCCCACACGUGGGGUUGAUUUGAGCAGCCAAGAGCCUGCUGCCCCUGGGCAGAGAAAGCCCUCCCUCCCCGGGGCUUCUGCUGAUGGGCCUUCCCUCCUCUGCACUUGGGCCAGGAGGGCCCGCUUCUCUCAGUCCACGCGCCCAAGGCUGCCGCCUGGGCUUCCCCGCCCCCGCUGAGGUGGAGGCCUCCUGGGGGCUGCUGCCAGGCAGACGGUGUCUCUUGCCCAGUGCUCUGAGCUGAGCCCUCCCUGGAGGAGAAACCUGGGGUCCCUAAGACAUGUGACCAGAGCCGGGGCCCCGCCGGCAGGCGAGGGCAUCCCCAGGCAGGUGCUGGGCGUGGAGGCCGCGGGGGCGUAGGCUGCAAGGAGACGGAGAACUGACCCUCUCCGGGGGCGCUGCCCCUCCCUCGCUCGCACACCUCACAUCACCCUGCUUGGCCCCGGAGGAUGGCUGGCUAGCCAGAGACGGGUAAGAUUCCUCAGGGAAGGAACAACCUAAGACAGGCACAGUCGCAGAGGGGCCAUCAGGAGAGGACUUGGGGGCCAACAGAGGUGGGGCACAGACCCUCACCCCCCCAACUUUGCAGGGGCCUGAACCCUCACGCCUUCUGAGGGAGGUCUCCUGCCCCCAUGGCUGUCUCGCUUCCCACGCCCAGCUCAGAUCGGGACCCAGGUGGCAGACAGAGACCUGGCCAACAGCAGCCGCCCUCUCGCCACACCGAGGAUUUGUUUCCCGUGUCCUCCUUGGACCACAGGGAGAGGGGAGCUGAAGGAAAAGGCUGGGUCAGGCGCCUUCUUCCCUUCGUUCUCCCUCUUCUCUCUGGGUGGCUCUUCGCCCUGUAGAGCUCCGGCUUCUUUGCUUUCUUUUUCCUUUUUCUCUCUGCGCACCUGUGUCUCCCUCGUCUCUCCUUCACCCCCUCCCCUCCUACCUGUCCUCUCUCUCUUCUCCUCUCCCUGCCUUCUCUUCUUCCUUGGCCUCCCCUCCUCCUGAGCCCUGCCUUGCUCGUCUCCCUGCCCCAACAUCCUGUGCCAUCCCUGUGGUGUGUUCUGGUCUUGGCCACGGCCAGACCUGGCAGAAGUGAUGGAUACCUGUUGAGGCAGCGGAGCCCCUGGGCUCCCACCCCAUUCCCUCCUCCCGGGGCUGCACAGGUGAGUAGGUGGAAGGUAAGGGGGGCAGGGAGGGAGAGGAGGUCCUGGCUUAAAGCCCGGGCUGGGAGCGCUGCUCCUGUGGCGCUCGGGGUCAGGCAGAGAGAAGAGAGUCGGCCUUCAAGGCAGUCAUUUCUGGGUGCCCCGGGUGAGGCGGGGAGUGGGGCUGCUUUUCCUGGAGCUCAGAGGCUGGGGAAGAGGGCGAGGACAAGCAGGAUGGGGUGGGCUGUCCCUCGGGUGUUGGUGUAUUUGCUCCUAGUGCAGCCCAGGAGGCCCGGUGGCUCUGAAGCAUCACUCACUUCUGUCCCGUUCUUGACAGCGCCAUUCGAGAACGAUUCCCCAAAUUACUACGCCUGGAUGGCCACGAGUUACCCCCACCAAUUGCCUUUGAUGUUGAAGCCCCCACGAUGUUACCACCCUGCAAGGGAAGCUAUUUUGGAACAGAGACCCUGAAGAAUCUGGUGCUGCACUUCCUGCAGCAGUACUAUGCAGUAUAUGACUCUGGAGACCGGCAGCGGCUCCUGGAUGCCUACCAUGAUGGGGCCUGCUGCUCCCUGAGCAUCCCCUUCAUCCCCCAGAACCCUGCUCGAAGCAACUUGGCCGAGUACUUCAAGGAUAGCAGGAAUGUGAAGAAGCUUAAAGACCCUAGCCUGCGGUUCAGGCUGCUGAAGCACACGCGUCUCAACGUGGUGGCCUUUCUCAACGAGCUGCCCAAAACUCAGCAUGAUAUCAAUUCCUUCGUGGUAGACAUAAGCGCCCAGACAAGCACAUUGCUGUGUUUUUCUGUCAAUGGAGUCUUCAAGGAAGUGGAUGGAAAAUCUCGGGACUCUUUGCGAGCCUUUACCCGGACGUUCGUGGCUGUUCCUGGCAGCAAUUCAGGGCUGUGCAUCGUAAACGACGAGCUGUUUGUGCGGAAUGCCAGUCCCGAUGAGAUCCAAAGAGCCUUCGCCAUGCCGGCGCCCACGCCUUCCUCCAGCCCAGUGCCCACCCUCUCCCCAGAACAGCAGGAAAUGCUGCAAGCAUUCUCUACCCAGUCUGGCAUGAACCUUGAGUGGUCCCAGAAGUGUCUUCAGGACAACAACUGGGACUACACCAGAUCUGCCCAGGCCUUUACUCAUCUCAAGGCCAAGGGCGAGAUCCCAGAAGUGGCAUUCAUAAAGUGACCCAUAGUUGUGCUCCAAGAGAAGGCACCUGUAAAUAGCCCUUGGAUAUAUUGAUGUCUCGUUGCCAUGGUUGUCGCCUCUCCGGCCCCCAGGCCACCCUUUGACUGUGACCGAGGAGGGGGUGCUGCUGGAUCCCUCUCCUCACCUGCCUUCUGGAAGACUUCCAGGAGAUUGAGCCUCUGGUGCCAGGAAGCCAAAGCUUACUUUGUAGAACUGACACUAAACUACUCAAAGGACUUAGGUGCUUUGUGUACUUAACCCCACGAUCCUUCCUACUUUUUAAGAUAAAGAGUGAUGUUGUAUUUUGUGUAGAGCGUGCAAUUCUGUAUUAGCCUUGCCCUUUGCGUGUGCUGGCGGAAGGGAGGCCAGGGCUGGGCCUAGAGGGCGGGGACGGAGGCGGCGGACGGGGACUCCGGGAGGGCGGGGAGGAGGCGUCGGCAGGAAGUCCCGCCCCGGAAGUCGCCCCUUGCGGGGCCAUGGCGGCGCCCGGGGCACGCAUACCCGCGCGGCUGCUUCUGGCGCUGCAGUCCCGACCCGCGCGCCGGGCCCUGCACGAUGCAGCCCCGCCACGGGACGUGCUGCUCUUCGAGCACGAACGAGGCCGCUUUUUCGCCGUCCUCGGGCUGUUCUGUGCCGGCCAGGGCGUCUUCUGGGCCUCCCUGGCCAUUGCCGCCUUAACCCGCCCCCCGGCCCCGGCUCGGCCUCCGGACACCGAGUCCCCAGACCGUGGCCGCCUGGACCUACGCUCCGCGCUCUGGCGCUAUGGCCUCGCUCUUGGCUGCGGCACUAUCGGUACCCUGGUACUUAGUGCUGGUCUUCUCUUUCCCUUCGCUCUGUGCGCUCAGUGAUGCUACGGGCUGGAGGGAAGCAAGUGACCCUCACCACUCAUGCCCCCUUUGGCUUGGGUGCCCAUUUCACUGUUCCCUUGAACCAAGUAUCCUGCAUGGCCCAUCGGGGUGAAGUCCCUGCUAUGUUGCCUCUGAAGGUCAAAGGCCGACGCUUCUACUUCCUCUUGGACAAAGCUGGACACUUCCCCAACACAAAACUCUUUGAUAUUACUGUGGGUGCCUACCGUAGCUUGUGAAGAAACCACCUCAGCUCAUUCAGGCCUCCCAGAGGGGAAUAAAAUCUGAAACUUAGGGGCGGGGCAGCAGUUGGUCACACAGGGGGCCCAGAAUUCAUUGACAGCAAAUAAAAGAGCACUCUUCCCGAGGGCAGCUACCUGCCAGUA